AUUGAACGCUGGCGGCAUGCUUUACACAUGCAAGUCGAACGGUAACAGGCCGCAAGGUGCUGACGAGUGGCGAACGGGUGAGUAAUGCAUCGGAACGUGCCCAGUCGUGGGGGAUAACGCAGCGAAAGCUGCGCUAAUACCGCAUACGAUCUAUGGAUGAAAGCGGGGGACCGUAAGGCCUCGCGCGAUUGGAGCGGCCGAUGUCAGAUUAGGUAGUUGGUGGGGUAAAGGCUCACCAAGCCAACGAUCUGUAGCUGGUCUGAGGGGACGACCAGCCACACUGGGACAGAGACACGGCCCAGACUCCUACGGGAGGCAGCAGUGGGGAAGUUUGGACAAUGGGCGCAAGCCUGAUCCAGCAAUGCCGCGUGCAGGAAGAAGGCCUUCGGGUUGUAAACUGCUUUUGUACGGAACGAAACGGUCCUGGUUAAUACCUGGGGCUAAUGACGGUACCGUAAGAAUAAGCACCGGCUAACUACGUGCCAGCCGCCGCGGUAAAAC
rnacentral:rRNA from 1 species